rnacentral:rRNA from 1 species
AGUGAACGCUGGCGGUAGGCCUAACACAUGCAAGUCGAACGGCAGCACAGUAAUAGCUUGCUCUUACGGGUGGCGAGUGGCGGACGGGUUAGGAAUACAUCGGAAUCUACUUUUUCGUGGGGGAUAACGUAGGGAAACUUACGCUAAUACCGCAUACGACCUACGGGUGAAAUCAUGGGAUCUUCGGACCUUGCGCGAUUGAAUGACCCGAUGUCGGAUUAGCUAGUUGGCGGGGUAAAGGCCCACCAAGGCGACGAUCCGUAGCUGGUCUGAGAGGAUGAUCAGCCACACUGGAACUGAGACACGGUCCAGACUCCUACGGGAGGCAGCAGUGGGGAAUAUUGGACAAUGGGCGCAAGCCUGAUCCAGCCAUACCGCGUGGGUGAAGAAGGCCUUCGGGUUGUAAAGCACUUUUGUUAGGAAAGAAAAGCAGCAGGUUAAUACCCCGCUGUUCUGACGGUACCCAAAGAAUAAGCACCGGCUAACUUCGUG